CUUUUUAGGGCCGCACCCACAGCAUAUGGAGGUUCCCAGGCUAGGGGUCCAAUCGGAGCUGCAGCUGCCAGCCUACAGCACAGCCACAGCAAUACCAGAUCCUUAACCCACUGGGCAAGGCCAGGGAUCAAACCCGAAACCUCAUGGUUCCUAGGUGGAUUCGCUUCUGCUCUGCCACGACAGGAACUCCUUUAAAUGUUUCUUUAUAAGAAUGAAAAGACAUUUUACAAGUCAUUGCUGCACCUGAAUCCCCGGCAGUCUGUGUUUAGGUCAGUCCCAAUCCUUUGCAAUAAAUUUGACAACACAAGAAAUGUAAAUGCUACUGCUGCCUCAGUACUACAAAGUGUAUGGGCUACAUUUGCUACCCAAAGCAAUAAACUUCUUGGUAGCAGUCUAGCUCCUUCAAGAGAAACACUAAACUGGGACUUCCUUGGUGGCCUAGCACUUAAGGAUCUGGCAUUGUCACUGCUGUGGCUUGGGUCGCUGCUGUGGCAUGAGUUCAUUACCUGGCUGUGGAACUUCCACAUGUUGUGGGCAUGGGCCAAAAAAGAAAUCUGAAAAAAAAAAAAAAAGAGAAAGAGGGAGUUCCCAUCGUGGCUCAGUGGUUAAGGAACCCAACUAGUAUCCACGAGGAUGCGGGUUUGAUCCCAGGCCUCACUCAGUGGGUUAAGGAUCCGGGGUUGCUGUAACCUGUGGUGUAGGUUGCAGACGUGGCUAAGACCCUGCGUUGCUGUGACUGUGGCGUAGGCCUGCAGCUAUAGCUCUGAUUCGACCCCCAGGAACUUCCAUAUGCUGCGAGUGUGGCCCUAAAAAGCAAAAAAAAAAAAAAUUACUAGUAUUAUUCUUUAGAGCUAGUGGGGGAAAGUUUGUUUUUUGGAGAUUUUUUGGCUGCACUCGCAGCAUAUGGACAUUCUCAGGCCAGGGAUCAGAUAUAAGCCACAGCUGUGAGCCAUGCCUGUGCCGGGAACCUGGGCCACAGCAGUGACCUGAGGCACUGCAGAGACAACACCACAUCCUUAACACACUGUGUCACAGCGGGAACGCCCAAUGACCUUUUUAAUACAGUCUCUGCUUUCAGAUUUUUCCAAAGAUGUCUUAGUCUCAUGUCAGCAAAACCUUGACUCCUGAUAACAACUUCCACACAUUUUUAUGGAGCUUUGUGGCAAAGCACUUCCACGUUUCACAUUUGCCUAAGACACCCUAUCAAAGAGGCAUGGUGUUCCCGUAUUUUAACAAACCAGGAGGAAGUAAGACGGGGUAUGUCUUCUUUGGGAGGGUGAUGGUGGCUCGCUAGAGGCCCGGUCCGACGGCGCCGUAUCUCACGCAGCAGCCCGGGGCUACCGAGCCACUGAAACAUGGCACGUCUGACCUGAGAUGUGAUGUAAAUAAAACAUACAUGGCAUUUUGAGGACUUAGAACAACAAGAAAGAAUGACAAUAUCUCAUUAUUUACCUUUAUAUUGAUUACAUGUUGAAAUGAUAAUGUGUUGAAUGUUUUCAGUUAGGAUACUAAAGGCUUCACCUGUUUCCUUUUACUUGUUAAUGUAGCUAUUGGACAGUUGUGACUGUUGUGUGUGGCUGGCAGCAUACAGCUAUUGGACAGGGAUGAUCUCGAGGGAGCUGCAGGUCAGGCAGGAGAGCUUGCUUGGGCCUCGCUUAGACAGAAAAGAGGCUCAUUACAGAUUUCGAGGCAGAGGGGUAACGGGAUCGAAGCAGGGUCUCAGAAAGGUCAGCCUGGCAGUGAGUUAUAGGCUAGAGAAGCUGUAGUCAGGAAAAAGGAGCUCAGAGGUGUGAAGAGUCAUCCAGGCUUGAGGGAAUCAGGGCCCGGGUUAGGAGAGAAAUGAAGAGGAAGGGGUUAAUUGAGAAUCAUUUUUUAAAUUAUUUAUUUAUUUAUUUGGGGGCCAUGCUCACCGCAUGUGGAAGUUCCCAGGCCAGGGAUCCAACCUGUGCCACAGCAGCGACCCCAACUACUGCAGUGACAACACGGGAUCCUUGACCCACUGAGCUACCAGGGAACUCAGAGAAACAUUUUAAACCACUAAGCUAGGGCUUGGUGACAAAGAGACUAUAGGCCUAAAGGAGAGAGGGUAGAAGAUAGUUAGAAAACUUCCAUCCCGAGAGAACUAAAGAACAGAGGUUUAGGACAAAGGAGUAACCUGGGGUAGGUGAAAUCUUAAACUAAGAGGUUUGUUUGGUUGGUUGGUUGGGUGGUUUGGGGUUUUCUGGCCACACCCACAGAAUGAGGAAGUUUCCAGGCCAUGGACCGAACCUGCACCACAGCACAGUGACCCGAGCUGCUGCAGUGACAA
ensembl:lncRNA